rnacentral:rRNA from 1 species
GCUAAGAAUCUUCCGCAAUGGGCGAAAGCCUGACGGAGCGACGCCGCGUGGGUGAUGAAGGCCGGAAGGUUGUAAAGCCCUUUUCUGACUGAGGAAUAAGCUGACGAGGUAAUGCGUUGGUGAUGACGGUAAGUCAGGAAUAAGCCCCGGCCAAUUACGUGCCAGCAGCCGCGGUAACACGUAUGGGGCGAGCGUUGUUCGGAAUUAUUGGGCGUAAAGGGCGCGUAGGCGGUUAUGCAAGCCCGGUGUGAAAAACUGCAGCUCAACUGCAGGGCCGCGCCGGGAACUGUGUGACUUGAGUUCAAGAGAGGGAGUUGGAAUUCCUGGUGUAGGGGUGAAAUCUGUAGAGAUCAGGAAGAACAUCAGUGGCGAAGGCGAACUCCUGGCUAUGAACUGACGCUGAAGCGCGAAAGCGUGGGGAGCAAACAGGAUUAGAAACCCCAGUAGUCC